rnacentral:lncRNA from 1 species
CUAAAUAUAAAAUAAGAUAUAUCAUAUAUGUCAAUUUUUAGAUCUAAAAGAUUAAUUUAAUCAUUUCAAAAAUAAUUUUCGAAAUCGAUCAAUCUUGUGCUAGGACAACCUUUUCAAUAUAGUGGUAAAUCCUAUACUAGGACACCUUAUACCAGCAAAAAGAUCAAUUUUAAAUCAAUAAAACUUUCAAAUCUAAGAUAAAAAUUAGAUUAUAUAUGUCUUUAAAAAUCAGUGGCUCUGAUACCACUAUUAGAAAAUUGGGUAGGAUGCAUGCAUAGAUUUCAAAAAUCUUUUCAAGAGCAGCG